GAAAGAGGGGAAGAAAUCGCAGAAAGAAAAACGAUUAUGGCGACGGUGGGAGCAAGCGCCAGCUCCGCUGUCGUCUCCUCCGCCUCCGCCUCUGCUGUCGCCACCUGCCCGUCAACUGUCGCGCCUUUUCUCUGCGGAAGAACUACGUGUCCCUUAAACAGCUGCAUGAACCGCGUCUCAAGGAGCAAUUCGACGAAGAGAAGCUUCGUGAUUGCGAUUUCAAUAUCAAGGGAGCAGAAGCGGCCCGAUCCACCAGCGAUUGGCCUCCUCAUGGAUUUCGGAGACGGGCGGUUCUGUGGCCGGCACCGCUAUCGAUUUCUCAGAGUUAACAGAGGGUAAGGGGACUGCUGAUGAUUCCGUUUCGGCCCUUGCAAUUGGUGAAUCCACCGGGGGAGAUGGUAAACAAGCUUGGAAGGGUAAGGAUACAGCAAAAUCUGAUGCAGAGAAGCGCGCCGAAUCGGAGGAGUCUUCGGAGAACCCCAUUUCGAUAAAGAAGGAAGGCAAUGGUCGAAAUCGCCCGGCAAGGGCGCAGUGCUCAUCAGUUACUUCACUCGCACCGGAAUUCGCCUCUCUAUCUGUCUCGAGUUGGCUUAGGUUGCCCUUCUCUUUGAUGAGCUGAGUGUGGUGAUGCUUGCAGUAGAGUUUUCCGUCGUGAGCAAUGUAAUUAGAAGGGCUGAUGACGCAUCCGCCAUGGCAGCAUUUGAAACAGCUCUUGUGAUAUGCUGCUCCAUUAACCUUGACCUUCAACAGGCUUACCAAAAACUAGACUGCUCUCUACCUCAUUGUCGAUAGGCUUCUCUGGUUUCACAACUUUUGGGGUCCCUAAAGGUUGCAAACGAGAGCAGUUUCAAGUUUCAGAACAUCAAGAAUUUUUCAUAUGCAAAUGACAGAAAAUGACGGUGAGACCUUCAAAGCUUUUCUCCAGGCUGCCUGUGCUCUUGUACAGCUGAUCAAAAUGGGGUUUGCAAUAUAGCACUCCUUCAAAGGAAUUGAAGUUUCCCAACUGCACAAAACUAAAAAUGAGAAGGAAGACGACGACGACAACAUUGAUGAAGGGAGAAGGAAAAUGAUUGAACCUUUAAG